CCCUAAACCCUAAACCCUAAACCC
rnacentral:miRNA from 1 species